rnacentral:rRNA from 1 species
UACAGAGGGUGCAAGCGUUGUUCGGAAUUAUUGGGCGUAAAGCGCGUGUAGGCGGCUUUGCAAGUCGGGUGUGAAAGCCCUCAGCUCAACUGAGGAAGUGCGCCCGAAACUGCAGAGCUUGAGUGCCGGAGAGGGUGGCGGAAUUCCCCAAGUAGAGGUGAAAUUCGUAGAUAUGGGGAGGAACACCGGUGGCGAAGGCGGCAUUCUGGACCGAAACUGACGCUGAGGCGCGAAAGCCAGGGGAGCAAACGGG